UGAGUACGAGAUGCUACGGCAUCGAAGCAGUCUAUGUCAUACUUCCAAGAAAAGCUUGCACUGUCAUAAACAAAGAAUGCCUGUACCAUAACCGACACAGGUGGGUAGGUAGAGUAUACUAAGGGGCGCGAGAUAACUCUCUCUAAGGAACUCGGCAAAAUGACUCCGUAACUUCGGGAGAAGGAGUGCCUUAUUUCUAAGGUUGCAAUAACAAGAUCCAAGCAACUGUUUACCAAAAACACAGGUCUCCGCUAAGUCGUAAGACGAUGUAUGGGGGCUGACGCCUGCCCAGUGCCAGAAGGUUAAAGAAGUUGGUUAGCAUUAGCGAAGCUGAUAACUGAAGCCCUGGUGAACGGCGGCCGUAACUAUAACGGUCCUAAGGUAGCGAAAUUCCUUGUCGGGUAAGUUCCGACCCGCACGAAAGGCGUAAUGAUUUGGAUACUGUCUCGGAGAGGGGCUCGGUGGAAUAGACUUGUCUGUGAAGAUGCGGACUACCUGCACCUGGACAGAAAGACCCUAUGAAGCUUUACUGUAACUUGAGAUUGAAAUUGGACUUUAUUUGCGCAGUAUAGGUGGGAGGCGUUGAGAAUAAUCUUGCGGGAUUGUUGGAGCCAUCAGUGAGAUACCACUCUUGUAAUGUUAGAUUUCUAACUUUGUAUCAUUAUCUGGUCAAAGAACAGUUUCAGGCGGGCAGUUUGACUGGGGCGGUCGCCUCCCAAAGGGUAACGGAGGCGCACAAAGGUUUCCUCUGAACGGGUAGAAAUCGUAUCUAGAGUGUAAAGGCAUAAGGAAGCUUGACUGUGAGACCUACAAGUCGAGCAGGGACGAAAGUCGGUCUUAGUGAUCUGACGGUGCUGAGUGGAAAGGCCGUCACUCAACGGAUAAAAGUUACUCUAAGGAUAACAGGCUGAUCUCCCCCAAGAGUUCACAUCGACGGGGAGGUUUGGCACCUCGAUGUCGGCUCAUCGCAUCCUGGGGCGGUAGUCCGUCCCAAGGGUUGGGCUGUUCGCCCAUGAAAGCGGUACGCGAGCUGGGUUCAGAACGUCGUGAGACAGUUCGGUCCAUAUCCGGUGUAGGCGUUAGAAUAUUGAGAGGAGCCUUCUCUAGUACGAGAGGACCGAGAAGGACAUACCUCUGGUGUACCAGUUAUCGUGCCAACGGUAAACGCUGGGUAGCUAUGUAUGGAGUGGAUAACCGCUGAAAGCAUCUAAGUGGGAAGCCCACCUCAAGAUAAGUAUUCUCAU
rnacentral:rRNA from 1 species